rnacentral:rRNA from 1 species
UGGGGAAUUUUGGACAAUGGGCGAAAGCCUGAUCCAGCAAUGCCGCGUGUGUGAAGAAGGCCCUUCGGGUUGUAAAGCACUUUUGUCCGGAAAGAAAUCCUUGGCUCUAAUACAGUCGGGGGGAUGACGGUACCGGAAGAAUAAGCACCGGCUAACUACGUGCCAGCAGCCGCGGUAAUACGUAGGGUGCAAGCGUUAAUCGGAAUUACUGGGCGUAAGCGUGCGCAGGCGGUUUGCUAAGACCGAUGUGAAAUCCCCGGGCUCAACCUGGGAACUGCAUUGGUGACUGGCAGGCUAGAGUAUGGCAGAGGGGGGUUAGAAUUCCACGUGUAGCAGUGAAAUGCGUAGAGAUGUGGAGGAAUACCGAUGGCGAAGGCAGCCCCCUGGGCCAAUACUGACGCUCAUGCACGAAAGCGUGGGGAGCAAACAGGAUUAGAUACCCUGGUAGUCCACG